UACGUAGGGUGCAAGCGUUGUCCGGAAUUAUUGGGCGUAAAGAGCUCGUAGGCGGUUUGUCGCGUCGGCCGUGAAAUCUCCACGCUUAACGUGGAGCGUGCGGUCGAUACGGGCAGACUUGAGUUCGGUAGGGGAGACUGGAAUUCCUGGUGUAGCGGUGAAAUGCGUAGAUAUCGGAAGGAACAUCAGUGGCGAAAGCGGCAUCCUGGACCGGCAUUGACGCUGAGGCGCGAAAGCCAGGGGAGCCAAAGCGGG
rnacentral:rRNA from 1 species